UGGGGAAUAUUGCACAAUGGGCGAAAGCCUGAUGCAGCGACGCCGCGUGAGGGAUGACGGCCUUCGGGUUGNAAACCUCUUUCAGCAGGAAGAGCGAAAGUGACGUACCUGCAGAAGAAGCGCCGGCUAACUACGUGCCAGCAGCCGCGGUAAUACGUAGGGCGCAAGCGUUGUCCGGAAUUAUUGGGCGUAAAGAGCUCGUAGGCGGUUAGUCGCGUCUGCUGUGAAAACUCGAGGCUCAACCUCGGGCUUGCAGUGGGUACGGGCUGACUAGAGUGCGGUAGGGGUGACUGGAAUUCCUGGUGUAGCGGUGGAAUGCGCAGAUAUCAGGAGGAACACGAUGGCGAAGGCAGGUCACUGGGCCGCAACUGACGCUGAGGAGCGAAAGCAUGGGGAGCGAACAGGAUUAGAUAG
rnacentral:rRNA from 1 species